rnacentral:tRNA from 1 species
GCCUUGCUAGCUUAGUCGGUAGAGCGUCAGACUCUUAUGACACAAUAAGUCAUCUGAAGGUCGUGGGUUGUGAGUGUUUCUCCCUUUCACAAUUCAAGAGACAAAGAGGGUUAAUAUAUAACCACAGCGACCCCCACGCAGGGCU